rnacentral:lncRNA from 1 species
CAUUCACACAUUUGUGCAAGAAUGCAAACAAUUGGGCUCACUCAGUGGGAUCAAGUGCUAUCUAGUUCAGUCUGAACCACUUUCUAGUGCAGAUGGCAGUGAGAGUGGCAGCACCACUGAAUAUUAUCCUCGGGGUUAGAAACUUUCCAAAUGAGAUUUCCAUUCGUGACCCUCCCCAUUUCAGCAGGAAACACCUGCUAAAGCAGCUUUAGGAAAUGCCUCUCAUUAGCAGCUUCUGUUUGAGCUCAGGUUUUCCUAGCCAUCCGAGUUCAGCAGGCUUAAGAACUUGAUCUUUUGAUAAUAUGAAAGGGAAAAUAUUAGAGCAAUGGAAAAUGAUGCAUCUGAACUGUGGCUGCAGUUCCAUCAUGAGCAGGCAGGUUUCAUUUCACAUGUAUACCAUGCAGCCUGGUUUUGCGUGUCGUAGAAAACUUUGUUUAUAUAUUGGAUUUCCCCACAGAAACUCCUGUGAACAUCUAUGAGGCAGAAGGCCAAUGUGGCUUGGGUAAUUCCCAGCUGCUUCCCACCUCUCCAGGCCCCUGUAGCACAUCUCCCUCCUCCCUUCCCUGUUCUGCUCCUACUUCCAGCGCAGCCACUGCAGCCCAGCCAGUGGAAAAGAGGAGGAAUUUCCUGACACAUGCCAAGGCCCAGGAGCAUCGGCUCCCAGGGCUGCUGGGCUCUCACUGACAUGGCAUUGAUGCUGAAGAUGAGAGGACUGGAAUGUCUCUAGGGCUGGAAAAGAAAUGGAGCUUCUGCAAUUACUUCUGUUCUGAUCCUAGUUUCUCUCUCCCUGUGUGACUGCUUUUUAAGAUUUGCCUGCAUGUAGACUUCUGGGGAUACUGCAGCUUUCAGUGCCACAUGAAGUCAUUGUGAGGAUCACUUACUGAUGGCUGUUAAAUCGAGCCAGAUAUUAACAUUGCUGUUUUCCUUGUUGUUGUUACAUUAAAUGUAUUUCAGCAGUAAUGUUAAGAUUUAAAUUAUAUUUUGUCUUUCAUGACACCAAAAAAGCACUGUUGUUUUACAAAUUGUUCACAUAUCUGAUGGGUGUAACUUUGACCUAAAUUUGAAAAGAUUAGUAAUUAUAUACAAAAUAUGUAUAAAAUAAUUGCCACAUUUAUGGUUUUUUUUUCUUUAGAUACCUGUAACAUUACUAUGUUGUAAGGAUGAAAAUUCUCAAGCAUUCCUUUCUGGAAAGAAAUUCAGCUUCUUAAAACUGUAUAAAUAAUAACUGAAAGAAGAUAUAUUUGUGCUUUGCUGAUAAUGGAGUAAUCUGGUGCCUCUGUACACUUUAAUCUGGCAUUCGGCAAUUGUACAGCACGGUGAUCUAACAGCCUUCAGAUUUCAGAGCCUGGAUUCAGCAGUACAUGCAAAAUUGUUUUCAGCAUGGUAGAGAAUUGUAGCAAGGGAAGAGACAAAGCUGUUCAGUGUUAGACAAGGGUUUAUCACACCUAUUGCCGGUAGUGUAUGUUUUGUAAGUUAGGAUAUGACUGAAUGUCUAUUUAUAUGGUUGUUAUAGAAAUAUAUGUGUGUGUGUGUGUUUGGAAUGUGAUUUUUCAAAAGCAAGCUGGAUGUGCACUCCUGUAUGUAGUUAAUCAUUUUGCUGUGAUGCUUAUAUCAUGAAAGCUCAAUAACUGUUACAACCCCCCCCAGUAUUGCAAUGGUUUGUCUUGUUUUCUCCACAGUUGCUAAGUUCUAUGUUACAUCAAUACAUCAAAACCAGGUUUAUAAACUAAAAUAGGAACCUGUCAUUUCAGAGGAAAAAAAAUCCCGUUAGAUAAAAGUAAACUGCUAACUUAUAUUCAUGAGCACCUAUCAGCUUUUAAUAAAAUAGCAUCCAGUUCACA